AAUCAACGCUGGCGGCGUGCCUCAGACAUGCAAGUCGAACGAUUAAAGCUCUCUUCGGAGAGUGUAUAGAGUGGCGCACGGGUGAGUAACACGUAAGUAAUCUACCUUUGAGUGGGGAAUAACAGUCGGAAACGACUGCUGAUACCGCAUAAUGCAGCGGCAUCGCAAGAUGACAGUUGUUAAAGGAGCAAUCCGCUUAAAGAGGAGCUUGCGGCAGAUUAGCUAGUUGGUAAGGUAAUGGCUUACCAAGGCUACGAUCUGUAUCCGGUC
rnacentral:rRNA from 1 species